rnacentral:rRNA from 1 species
GACGGAGGAUGCAAGCGUUAUCCGGAAUGAUUGGGCGUAAAGCGUCCGCAGGUGGCAGUUCAAGUCUGCUGUCAAAGACCGGGGCUUAACUUCGGAAAGGCAGUGGAAACUGAACAGCUAGAGUAUGGUAGGGGCAGAGGGAAUUCCUGGUGUAGCGGUGAAAUGCGUAGAUAUCAGGAGGAACACCAAUGGCGAAGGCAGCUCGCUGGGACGGUACUGACGCUGAGGCGCGAAAGCGUGGGGAGCAAACAGG